UUCUGCCACCGAAUACAUUAGCAUGGGAUAAUGGAAUAGGACCCUGUCCUCCUWUUUUCAGUUGGUUUUGGCAGCGCGAGGACUAGGGUAAUGAUUAAUAGGGAUAGUUGGGGGCAUUAAUAUUUAAUUGUCAGAGGUGAAAUUCUUGGAUUUAUGAAAGAUUAACUUCUGCGAAAGCAUCUGCCAAGGAUGUUUUCAUUAAUCAAGAACGAAAGUUAGGGGAUCGAAGACGAUCAGAUACCGUCGUAGUCUUAACCAUAAACGAUGCCGACCAGCGAUUAGGAGACGUUGAAUACAAAACACCACCAUCGGCGCGGUCGUCCUUGGCGUUCGUGUUCACGCACGAGCGCGAGGGCGGCUUAGCCCGAUGGCACCGGUGAAUGACUCCCUAGASUCUKGUGAGA
rnacentral:rRNA from 1 species